rnacentral:rRNA from 1 species
UACAGAGGUCUCAAGCGUUGUCCGGAUUCAUUGGGCGUAAAGGGUGCGUAGGUGGCGCCGUAAGUCAGGUGUGAAAUCUCGGGGCUCAACCCCGAAACUGCACUUGAUACUGCGGUGCUCGAGUACUGGAGAGGAGAUUGGAAUUUACGGUGUAGCAGUGAAAUGCGUAGAUAUCGUAAGGAAGACCAGUGGCGAAGGCGAAUCUCUGGACAGUUACUGACACUGAGGCACGAAGGCCAGGGGAGCAAACGGG